GCGCCAUGCUAGGGAUGACAACUUAGCUUAUGUGGAGUUAGAAGUGUCAACAAGCAUUUCUGACACCUUUGCCGGGGAAGGAAUAAUUUUUUUGAGAAAAAUUACCUAAACAAAUACUUAAUAACUGAGUAGGUAGCUUGCUAGUCAUCUCUACUUGGUUGGUUUACCCUUGUUUGUUUUUUGUGUUUAUUUUUUUAUACAGGGUAUUAGCAGGAUUGAAACUGAUUCACUCAAUUCUUUAUCCAAAUCGGAUCAAUCAAGAAGGAAGCUCGUCACCAGUUGUUGAUGCAAAAGUGGAUCUGCAAACACAAAGGGCUAAUACCCGAUUCAAUGUUAAGGCGUGCCAGCCGAUUUGACCUUGCAAUCGACAAAGGUGAUAACUCGAAUACGACAACAGCGAUACGUCCGGAUGGCAUGGCCAAGAGGUAUUCACGCGGAACUUGAGAACUCGCCGAGGUUGACUCGAUGAAUUCUUAAGAACUCGUAAGUAAAAAGAAAAUAUGCGAGUUGCCGAAGUCGUCGAAAAAGUAGAUGCUAGAAUAGAUAUAAAAACUUGUGUUUGAUUGAUUGUGAUUGUUUCUUACAUGGCUACG
rnacentral:lncRNA from 1 species